rnacentral:rRNA from 1 species
CCUACGGGUGGCAGCAGUGAGGAAUAUUGGUCAAUGGGCGCGAGCCUGAACCAGCCAAGUCGCGUGAGGGAGGACGGCCCUACGGGUUGUAAACCUCUUUUGCCGGGGAGCAACGGGCGUCACGUGUGGCGCCCCUGAGAGUACCCGGAGAAAAAGCACCGGCUCACUCCGUGCCAGCAGCCGCGGUACUACGGAGGAUGCGAGCGUUAUCCGGAUUUAUUGGGUUUAAGGGGUGCGUAGGCGGAUCGUUAAGUCAGUGGUCAAAUGGAGGGGCUCAACCCCUUCCCGACAUUGAAACUGGCGUUCUUGAGUGGAAGAGAAGUAUGCGGAAUGCGUUGUGUAGCGGUGAAAGGCAUAG